UACGUAGGGUGCAAGCGUUAAUCGGAAUUACUGGGCGUAAAGCGUGCGCAGGCGGUUUUGUAAGGCUGGCGUGAAAGCCCCGGGCUCAACCUGGGAAUUGCGAUGGAGACUGCAAGGCUUGAAUCUGGCAGAGGGGGGUAGAAUUCCACGUGUAGCAGUGAAAUGCGUAGAGAUGUGGAGGAACACCGAUGGCGAAGGCAGCCCCCUGGGUCAAGAUUGACGCUCAUGCACGAAAGCGUGGGGAGCAAACAGG
rnacentral:rRNA from 1 species